AUUGAACGCUGGCGGCAGGCCUAACACAUGCAAGUCGAACGGUAACAGGAAGAAGCUUGCUUCUUUGCUGACGAGUGGCGGACGGGUGAGUAAUGUCUGGGAAACUGCCUGAUGGAGGGGGAUAACUACUGGAAACGGUAGCUAAUACCGCAUAACGUCGCAAGACCAAAGAGGGGGACCUUCGGGCCUCUUGCCAUUGGAUGUGCCCAGAUGGGAUUAGCUAGUAGGUGGGGUAACGGCUCACCUAGGCGACGAUCCCUAGCUGGUCUGAGAGGAUGACCAGCCACACUGGAACUGAGACACGGUCCAGACUCCUACGGGAGGCAGCAGUGGGGAAUAUUGCACAAAGGGCGCAAGCCUGAUGCAGCCAUGCCGCGUGUAUGAAGAAGGCCUUCGGGUUGUAAAGUACUUUCAGCGGGGAGGAAGGGAGUAAAGUUAAUACCUUUACUCAUUGACGUUACCCGCAGAAGAAGCACCGGCUAACUCCGUG
rnacentral:rRNA from 1 species